CAUCAGUGAGUAAUUCGGAAAAACCGAUGGUCUAUCGUUUUGGUAACGCUGUAGGCCCGAAAUAAAUGGAAAAAUAAGUGAGGAAAUACAAUUUUUCUUGUAACGAAUUCAAGUGGUGCUGAGUGCGUUUCAGUUUUAGCAAUAUACAUAUCAAAAAUCAUAUCAGCUUUUUAAAAGCAACAAAUAAAAUAAGUUAUCCGGCGAAAAAAGUGAACUUUUUCGUAGCGUUCUGUAGAAAUAUAAAUAUAUGAAAAAAGGUACAUAUAUUAAAAAAAAGAACAAAAAUUAAGUUUUAAAUAUCGUACAAUUAACACAACAUAUCACGCGUUAUAAGCUUUAAUAUAAAUAACAAUUUCGAAAAAAAUAUUAAAUUAUAUUAGAAGUGAAAAAAUUGAUAUAUACCUACGCUAGUAUAUACAUACUUAUGUAUACAGCUGCUUUAGUGGGAUAUUCCCUAUUAAAUAUUUUAUCGAAAUAAGCUAAAGACUUAUGUCGUGACAUAAAACAACGAAAAAUUUCACUUCGUGACGAAAAGCAGAACAAAAAGUUGGAAAAAGUAAAACAAACAUUUUGCGGUCCCCUGCCUAAUAUAUCACCAUACAUAUCAAGUAGAAAAGCUAGCAAUAUCGCUAAAGGCACUAGAGCCGAAACAGUUUUCAACUUGUACGCUUCCAUUAAGAAUAGAGCCUGAAAUUACAAAUCAAAGAGAUCACAGGAACUUCAUAUGCAUUAGUACAUAGAUAAGGCACUAUAUCGUCACCUGAAAUGCAAAAUAACGUAACAUCACUUUUCGUAAGUUUACAGGAGAAGCAAAAAACCGUAUAAAAAGAAAACCACUUGAGAUAUUGAAACAAAAUUUUCAAAUCUGAAUUAACAGGAAACUAUAAGUAUAUUUUAGAAAAAAAUAAAGAAAAAAUUAAGCAAAUUUUA